AAGCGCUGGCAACCAGACUUGGGCGCUGUUGAUCCGCUAGGGUUCUCUCUAGGGCACUCGGCAGUGCGCAGGCCAGCAUCGGUUUGGGGGGUUGGAGAAUGGCUGGUGGAAUGUGGCUGUCUUUGGGCAGUGUUAUAGCCACCGGUGGCAUGCAGCCUCCCCGGACCGAGGACCGCGCUUCGGCUAGGAUGCUGGCGUAAUGGUUGU
rnacentral:rRNA from 1 species